UGGGCCGCACGCGCGCUACAC
rnacentral:siRNA from 1 species